UACAGAGGUCUCGAGCGUUAGGCGGAAUCACUGGGCUUAAAGCGUGUGUAGGUGGAUGCCUAAGUACCUUGUGAAAUCCCACAGCUUAACUGUGGAACUGCUUGGUAUACUGGGUGUCUUGAGUCACUCAGGGGCGAGCGGAACAAAUGGUGGAGCGGUGAAAUGCGUAGAUAUCAUUUGGAACGCCAAUGGUGAAAACAGCUCGCUGGGGGCGCACUGACACUGAGACACGAAAGCCAGGGGAGCGAACGGG
rnacentral:rRNA from 1 species